rnacentral:tRNA from 1 species
GAGGAUAUAGCUCAGUGGUAGAGCACGUGCUUAACAUGCACAGGGUCCUUGGUUUAGUCCCCAGUACCUCCA